AAGUUAGUAGUGAAAGCGUCCGGCUCAACCGGAUAAACAUUACUAAAACUGCAAAGCUAGAGGACAAGAGAGGUCACUGGAAUUCCUUGUGUAGGAGUGAAAUCCGUAGAUAUAAGGAGGAACACCGAUGGCGUAGGCAGGUUACUGGACCAUUUCUGACACUGAGGCACGAAAGCGUGGGGAGCGAACCGGAUUAGAUACCCGGGUAGUCCACGCCGUAAACGAUGGAUACUA
rnacentral:rRNA from 1 species